rnacentral:rRNA from 1 species
CGCCUACGGGAGGCAGCAGUGGGGAAUAUUGCACAAUGGGGGAAACCCUGAUGCAGCGACGCCGCGUGGGCGAGGAAGUACCUCGGUAUGUAAAGCUCUAUCAGCAGGGAAGAAAAUGACGGUACCUGACUAAGAAGCCCCGGCUAACUACGUGCCAGCAGCCGCGGUAAUACGUAGGGGGCAAGCGUUAUCCGGAUUUACUGGGUGUAAAGGGAGUGUAGACGGCAGAGCAAGUCUGAAGUGAAAGCCCGCGGCCCAACUGCGGGACUGCUUUGGAAACUGCCCGGCUAGAGUGCUGGAGAGGG